rnacentral:lncRNA from 1 species
GUGAAGCUGACUCUAUUUUUUUACUCCCAUUUUACAGAUGAAAAUCUCAGGUCCAGCUUGGUUGGGAAACCUACUGAAGGAAAACCCUACAGUCAGAAAACAGAGAGCCAACAUAUGCUCCCCAACUGGAGUCUCAAGGGCCACAGCCAAGCAAGAGGUCCAAGUUCCUGGAGAUGUUCUCUGGAUCACCAGUGCUCUGUUUAAGAUCGCCCAUCCUACACUCUGGGGCAAGCCCAGGCAGAGACCUUCAACUUGAACAUUCUCUGCUCUGAGGUGCUCUUGGACAAGAAGAAUAUCCAUGUGCUGGACGUGGGGUAUGCUUGGGGCAUGAGUGUGCUACACGUCUCUGUUUUGAGAGAGGAGCUACUUGGAUAUCAGCCAGACUGGGUUUUUUUCCCCCCGCACGUGUGUGUGUGUGUGUGUGUGUGUGUGUGUGUGUGUGUGGUGUUUGUUUGUGUGUGUGUGUGUGUAGGCAGUGGCUGGCACCAAAAUGCUUGCU